rnacentral:tRNA from 1 species
CCUGGUGGCUCAGACAGUAAAGAGUCUGCCUGCAAUGCAGGAGACCCAGGUUCAAUUCCUGGGUCAGGA